rnacentral:rRNA from 1 species
GAUGAACGCUGGCGGCGUGCAUAACACAUUCAAGUCGAACGGUGAUGAGGACUUCGGUCCUCUGAUCAGUGGCGGACGGGUGAGUAACGCGUGAGCAACCUGCCCUAUAUUGCGGGAUAACAACCGGAAACAGUUGCUAAUACCGCAUGACGUAUUCGGAUCGCAUGUUCUGAAUACCAAAGAAUUUUGCUCUGAGAUGGACUCGCGUCCGAUUAGGUAGUUGGUGAGGUAACGGCCCACCAAGCCGACGAUCAGUAGCCGGCCUGAGAGGGUGAACGGCCACAUUGGGACUGAGACACGGCCCAAACUCCUACGGGAGGCAGCAGUGGGGAAUAUUGCACAAUGGGGGAAACCCUGAUGCAGCGACGCCGCGUGAGUGAAGAAGUAUUUCGGUAUGUAAAGCUCUAUCAGCAAGGAAGAAAAUGACGGUACUUGACUAAGAAGCCCCGGCUAACUACGUG